AUUGAACGCUGGCGGCAGGCCUAACACAUGCAAGUCGAACGAGUGGCGGACGUGUGAGUAAUGUCUGGGAAACUGCCUGAUGGAUGGGGAUCACUACUGGAAACGUUAGCUAAUACCGCAUACCAUCGGAUGUUCCCAUAUGGGAUUAGCUAGUUGGUGGGGUAAAGGCUCACCUAGGCGACGAUCCCUAGCUGGUCUGAGAGGAUGACCAGCCACACUGGAACUGAGAAACGGUCCAGACUCCUACGGGAGGCAGAAGUGGGGAAUAUUGCACAAUGGGCGCAAGCCUGAUGCAGGCAUGCCGCGUGUAUGAAGAAGGCCUUCGGGUUGUAAAGUACUUUCAGCGGGGAGGCGGUAAACGAAGAAGAAGCACCGGCUAACUCCGUGCCAGCAGACGCGGUAAUAG
rnacentral:rRNA from 1 species